CAGUAGCCACGGGAAUACGUAGGUGGCAAGCGUUAUCCGGAAUUAUUGGGCGUAAAGCGCGCGUAGGCGGUUUUUUAAGUCUGAUGUGAAAGCCCACGGCUCAACCGUGGAGGGUCAUUGGAAACUGGAAAACUUGAGUGCAGAAGAGGAAAGUGGAAUUCCAUGUGUAGCGGUGAAAUGCGCAGAGAUAUGGAGGAACACCAGUGGCGAAGGCGACUUUCUGGUCUGUAACUGACGCUGAUGUGCGAAAGCGUGGGGAUCAAACAGGAUUAGAUACCCGGGUAGUCCCUGUCUCUUAUAC
rnacentral:rRNA from 1 species